UCAGAAUUUUGUCCUGACGUUCCUUU
rnacentral:piRNA from 1 species